UCACACCACCACCACAUGCUUUGCAAAGAUUACACCACAACACACAAAAUGGUACAAUCUUAUCAUCAAGAAUACAAGUAAUUACACCGUUACACAGUACAGAAUUACAUAUAGAUUACAAAUUAGAGCAAAAGGAAAAGAUUAGACAAUUACAUAAGAGUAACUUCAACCUGAUCAAGCAAAAAAAACCUAGCAGACCAGAUCAAGAGAUGAGACAUAUUAACAUGACCUUAUUAAGAUGUAAGACCCUCUACCUUAACUGACUCUAACCUUACCAGACUCUCCAAGCUAGCCCUGCAAAUGUCAAAACCUCAUUGUAGUAGCUACCAGA